GGAAGGAGGGAGAAAUUAUGACCGAGAGCCUGACACCUGAUGCUGGCGGCUUUUGUCUCUCCAAGUUGGGCCAGUAUUUGGCCAUCUUAUGCGGCGGGUGACUAUGGUGUCCCAGAUUGGUGUCAGCAGAAAACCAACAACGAUGUGGUGGCACACAGUGAACUGACCAGACCCAGGCAGCAGUGGCUCUUUUGGUGGCAAUGGUGCCAAGUCACAGGUACUCUCCUUGCUAAUGGCAGAUACCAACAGGCAGACUAUUGCCUGCGUUUAGCUCUGUUAACCAUUGACAGUGAGACAAUCAUGUCUUCAGUGUUCAUACCUCUUAAAGAUCUUGUCUGUAACACAAGGGCAUUUGAAGAGCAGUGGUUUAAGACCCGGGUCUCAUUUUGUUGUCCUGGCUUAGACUUGUGGCAGUCCUCCUGCUUCAGCCUGCUAAGUGCCAGGAUUACAGGCUUGAGCCAGCAUGCUUAACUUCUAGUUUAGUUUCUUCAGAUAGGGUCUCAUGCAGCACAGUCUGGCUUCAGACUUGCUAUGUAGCAUGGGAUAACCUUGAACCCUGAUCUUCCUGUCUGCCUUCUAAGUUCUGGGAUUCCAGGCAUGCCCGGUUAAAACAAUAAAGUGUCAAGUGGUGGAUUUAGUUAUAUUCUUCUGGAGACUACGACAAAAGAGUCCUUGAAGUCAAGCUGACUCUGCCUUCAGCCUCCUACAUGAAAAGGUAGAUAGAACAGGUCUUGUUGCAAAGUAAAUUCAAGACCUACUUAUCUACCAACAGCCAUUACCUACCCCCACAGUCUUCCUGUAGGAAGUGGGUGGGUGAACUCGUACAUGAGGCAGGUGGGGAAAGCCAGAGUGGAUGAAGUCUCUACUAGUGGUAGGAAGAUGCUUGGAGAUCACAUGGGUGGGUUAGAAAGUUGAGCACUUGUUUCCUAUAGUGCAG
rnacentral:lncRNA from 1 species